AGAGUUUGCUUUUGGCUCAGGAUGAACGCUGGCGGCGUGCCUAAUACAUGCAAGUCGAGCGCGAGAUUGAGGAGCUUGCUCCUCGUGAUCGAGCGGCGGACGGGUGAGUAACACGUAGGCAACCUACCCUUGAGAUUGGGAUAACUACCGGAAAUGGUAGCUAAUACCGGAUACGACUUUCCUGCAUAAGCAGUUAAGUUAAAAGGCGGAUUUAUCUGCCGCUCAUGGAUGGGCCUGCGGUGCAUUAGCUAGUUGGUGAGAUAGUGGCUCACCAAGGCGACGAUGCAUAGCCGACCUGAGAGGGUGAUCGGCCACACUGGGACUGAGACACGGCCCAGACUCCUACGGGAGGCAGCAGUAGGGAAUCUUCCGCAAUGGACGCAAGUCUGACGGAGCAACGCCGCGUGAGUGAUGAAGGGUUUCGGCUCGUAAAACUCUGUUGUUAAGGAAGAACACUUGAGGUAGUAACUGGCCUUGAGAUGACGGUACUUAACCAGAAAGCCACGGCUAACUACGUGCCAGCAGCCGCGGUAAUACGUAGGUGGCAAGCGUUAUCCGGAAUUACUGGGCGUAAAGCGCGCGUAGGCGGCUUUGUAAGUCAGGGGUGAAAUCCCACGGCUCAACCGUGGAACUGCCUUUGAAACUGCGAGGCUUGAAUCCUGGAGAGGGUGGCGGAAUUCCUGGUGUAGGAGUGAAAUCCGUAGAUAUCAGGAGGAACACCGGUGGCGAAGGCGGCCACCUGGACAGGUAUUGACGCUGAGGUGCGAAAGUGUGGGGAGCAAACAGGAUUAGAUACCCUGGUAGUCCAC
rnacentral:rRNA from 1 species